GACGAACGCUGGCGGCGUGCCUAAUACAUGCAAGUCGAACGCUGAAGGAGGAGCUUGCUUCUCUGGAUGAGUUGCGAACGGGUGAGUAACGCGUAGGUAACCUGCCUGGUAGCGGGGGAUAACUAUUGGAAACGAUAGCUAAUACCGCAUAAUAGUAGAUGUCGCAUGACAUUUGCUUAAAAGGUGCAAUUGCAUCACUACCUGAUGGACCUGCGUUGUAUUAGCUAGUUGGUGAGGUAACGGCUCACCAAGGCAACGAUACAUAGCCGACCUGAGAGGGUGAUCGGCCACACUGGGACUGAGACACGGCCCAGACUCCUACGGGAGGCAGCAGUAGGGAAUCUUCGGCAAUGGACGGAAGUCUGACCGAGCAACGCCGCGUGAGUGAAGAAGGGUUUCGGAUCGUAAAGCUCUGUUGUAAGAGAAGAACGAGUGUGAGAGUGGAAAGUUCACACUGUGACGGUAGCUUACCAGAAAGGGACGGCUAACUACGUG
rnacentral:rRNA from 1 species